AUUAGAAUGGCUGAAUUAAUAAGCAGUAAAUUGUAAAUUUGCCUAUGAAUAAAUAUAUUCUUCUAAUA
rnacentral:tRNA from 1 species